UACAUGUGGGGCAAGCGUUGUUCGGAAUUACUGGGCGUAAAGCGUGCGCAGGCGGUUAUGUAAGACAGGUGUGAAAUCCCCGGGCUUAACCUGGGAACUGCAUUUGUGACUGCAUAGCUAGAGUACGGUAGAGGGGGAUGGAAUUCCGCGUGUAGCAGUGAAAUGCGUAGAUAUGCGGAGGAACACCGAUGGCGAAGGCAAUCCCCUGGACCUGUACUGACGCUCAUGCACGAAAGCGUGGGGAGCAAACAGG
rnacentral:rRNA from 1 species